rnacentral:rRNA from 1 species
UACAGAGGGGGCAAGCGUUGUUCGGAAUUACUGGGCGUAAAGGGCGCGUAGGCGGCCCGCUAAGUCGAACGUGAAAUCCCCAGGCUCAACCUGGGAACUGCGUCUGAUACUGGAUGGCUUGGAUCCGGGAGAGGGAUGCGGAAUUCCAGGUGUAGCGGUGAAAUGCGUAGAUAUCUGGAGGAACACCGGUGGCGAAGGCGGCAUCCUGGACCGGUAUUGACGCUGAGGAGCGAAAGCCAGGGGAGCAAACGGG